rnacentral:lncRNA from 1 species
CUGGUUUCGUAUUUUUCUUAUUGCCAGAAUCGGAUGCAUGCUACAUUUUUCUUCCAAUAUAAAUUGAA